rnacentral:tRNA from 1 species
ACUUAAAUAAUUUAAAUAAAAUAUUGAUUUGUGGUAUCAAAAAUAUGAUGGAUUCAUUUUAAGUU